AAGACUAUAGACCUGCGGAGUACCUGCGGAAGGAUCAUUACCGAGUACUCCUGUCUCAGGAACUCCCACCCUUGAUUACAAGCCGUUGCUUCGGCGAGACGCUGGUUCCAGCCAUCGGUCUACGAUUGAUGAGCGCUCGCCGAAGUUCAAACUCUUAAUCUUGCUGUCAGAGGAAAAGCGAAUCAUAAAAACUUUCAACAACGGAUCUCU
rnacentral:misc_RNA from 1 species